UGUAUAAUGGGUCAGCGACUUAUAUUCUGUAGCAAGGUUAACCGAAUAGGGGAGCCGAAGGGAAACCGAGUCUUAACUGGGCGUUAAGUUGCAGGGUAUAGACCCGAAACCCGGUGAUCUAGCCAUGGGCAGGUUGAAGGUUGGGUAACACUAACUGGAGGACCGAACCGACUAAUGUUGAAAAAUUAGCGGAUGACUUGUGGCUGGGGGUGAAAGGCCAAUCAAACCGGGAGAUAGCUGGUUCUCCCCGAAAGCUAUUUAGGUAGCGCCUCGUGAAUUCAUCUCCGGGGGUAGAGCACUGUUUCGGCAAGGGGGUCAUCCCGACUUACCAACCCGAUGCAAACUGCGAAUACCGGAGAAUGUUAUCACGGGAGACACACGGCGGGUGCUAACGUCCGUCGUGAAGAGGGAAACAACCCAGACCGCCAGCUAAGGUCCCAAAGUCAUGGUUAAGUGGGAAACGAUGUGGGAAGGCCCAGACAGCCAGGAUGUUGGCUUAGAAGCAGCCAUCAUUUAAAGAAAGCGUAAUAGCUCACUGGUCGAGUCGGCCUGCGCGGAAGAUGUAACGGGGCUAAACCAUGCACCGAAGCUGCGGCAGCGACGCUUAUGCGUUGUUGGGUAGGGGAGCGUUCUGUAAGCCUGCGAAGGUGUGCUGUGAGGCAUGCUGGAGGUAUCAGAAGUGCGAAUGCUGACAUAAGUAACGAUAAAGCGGGUGAAAAGCCCGCUCGCCGGAAGACCAAGGGUUCCUGUCCAACGUUAAUCGGGGCAGGGUGAGUCGACCCCUAAGGCGAGGCCGAAAGGCGUAGUCGAUGGGAAACAGGUUAAUAUUCCUGUACUUGGUGUUACUGCGAAGGGGGGACGGAGAAGGCUAUGUUGGCCGGGCGACGGUUGUCCCGGUUUAAGCGUGUAGGCUGGUUUUCCAGGCAAAUCCGGAAAAUCAAGGCUGAGGCGUGAUGACGAGGCACUACGGUGCUGAAGCAACAAAUGCCCUGCUUCCAGGAAAAGCCUCUAAGCAUCAGGUAACAUCAAAUCGUACCCCAAACCGACACAGGUGGUCAGGUAGAGAAUACCAAGGCGCUUGAGAGAACUCGGGUGAAGGAACUAGGCAAAAUGGUGCCGUAACUUCGGGAGAAGGCACGCUGAUAUGUAGGUGAGGUCCCUCGCGGAUGGAGCUGAAAUCAGUCGAAGAUACCAGCUGGCUGCAACUGUUUAUUAAAAACACAGCACUGUGCAAACACGAAAGUGGACGUAUACGGUGUGACGCCUGCCCGGUGC
rnacentral:rRNA from 1 species